rnacentral:rRNA from 1 species
UACGUAGGGUGCAAGCGUUAAUCGGAAUUACUGGGCGUAAAGCGUGCGCAGGCGGUUUUUCAAGACAGAUGUGAAAGCCCCGGGCUCAACCUGGGAAUUGCGAUGGAGACUGCAAGGCUUGAAUCUGGCAGAGGGGGGUAGAAUUCCACGUGUAGCAGUGAAAUGCGUAGAGAUGUGGAGGAACACCGAUGGCGAAGGCAGCCCCCUGGGUCAAGAUUGACGCUCAUGCACGAAAGCGUGGGGAGCAAACAGG